rnacentral:lncRNA from 1 species
AAGUUGUGAUUCAUUUGCUUUACCUGUUGAGUAUCUGCAUAGAAACGUUUCCGUAUAAACAUUUCUUGUCCAUCUGGUCUACAUCGCUUCCUGUCUGCGUUUGAUCAACAACCGCC